rnacentral:lncRNA from 1 species
UAACAAGAAACCUAAAACACAUCCUCCAAUUACGAUCCCAAGUAUUGCAGGUUCACGGAGUUUUAAAGAUUUCUUUUUUGGUGGGAUACUUGGAGGAGGAACUGGAGGAAGUGAAGGUGAUAAAUUUGCAGGAGAGGUAGAAUAUGAUUCUAAGGAUUUCUUUUUUGGUGGGAUACUUGGAGGAGGAACUGGAGGAAGUGAAGGUGAUAAAUUUGCAGGAGAAAGCCGGUUACCAGCAAAAGCCGAACCAGGAAAUCUUUGAAGAGAAUUGGGGACAUUUCCAGUAAAGUCAUUGUUGGAAAGAUCUAAUAGUUGCAAGCUAGGGAGAUU